ensembl:snRNA U6 U6 spliceosomal RNA
GUGCUUGCUUCAGCCGCACAUACUAAAACUGGAACAAUACAGAUAUUAGCAUGGCCCCUGCGCAAGGAUGACAUGCAAAUCUGUGAAGUGUUCCAUCUCUGG